AUUAAUGUGUGAGUUGAAGGGGG
rnacentral:piRNA from 1 species